GGAAUCUUGGACAAUGGGGGCAACCCUGAUCCAGCGACGCCGCGUGGGUGAUGAAGGCCCUAGGGUUGUAAAGCUCUUUCACCGGUGAAGAUAAUGACGGUAACCGGAGAAGAAGCCCCGGCUAACUUCGUGCCAGCAGCCGCGGUAAUACGAAGGGGGCUAGCGUUGUUCGGAAUUACUGGGCGUAAAGCGCACGUAGGCGGACAUUUAAGUCAGGGGUGAAAUCCCGGGGCUCAACCCCGGAACUGCCUUUGAUACUGGGUGUCUAGCGUCCGGAAGAGGUGAGUGGAAUUCCGAGUGUAGAGGUGAAAUUCGUAGAUAUUCGGAGGAACACCAGUGGCGAAGGCGGCUCACUGGUCCGGUACUGACGCUGAGGUGCGAAAGCGUGGGGAGCAAAC
rnacentral:rRNA from 1 species